rnacentral:rRNA from 1 species
AAAGGAAUAGACGGGGACCCGCACAAGCAGCGGAGCAUGUGGUUUAAUUCGAAGCAACGCGAAGAACCUUACCAGGGCUUGACAUCCCUCGGACCGACUUAGAGAUAAGUCUUUCCCUUCGGGGACUGAGGUGACAGGUGGUGCAUGGUUGUCGUCAGCUCGUGUCGUGAGAUGUUGGGUUAAGUCCCGCAACGAGCGCAACCCCUGUCUUUAGUUGCUAACAGUUUGGCUGAGCACUCUAGAGAGACUGCCGAUGAGAAAUCGGAGGAAGGUGGGGAUGACGUCAAAUCAUCAUGCCCUUUAUGUCCUGGGCUACACACGUGCUACAAUGGUCGGUACAACGGGCAGCCAUCGAGUGAUCGUGAGCUAAUCCUAUAAAGCCGAUCCCAGUUCGGAUUGUAGGCUGCAAUUCGCCUACAUGAAGCCGGAGUUGCUAGUAAUCGUGAAUCAGAAUGUCGCGGUGAAUACGUUCCCGGGUCUUGUACACACCGCCCGU